rnacentral:rRNA from 1 species
GAUGAACGCUGGCGGCGUGCCUAAUACAUGCAAGUCGAGCGAACAGAUGCGGAGCUUGCUCCUCUGACGUUAGCGGCGGACGGGUGAGUAACACGUGGAUAACCUACCUAUCAGACUGGGAUAACUUCGGGAAACCGGAGCUAAUACCGGAUAAUAUAUUGAACCGCAUGGUUCAAUAGUGAAAGACGGUUUUGCUGUCACUUAUAGAUGGAUCCGCGCCGCAUUAGCUAGUUGGUAAGGUAACGGCUUACCAAGGCAACGAUGCGUAGCCGACCUGAGAGGGUGAUCGGCCACACUGGAACUGAGACACGGUCCAGACUCCUACGGGAGGCAGCAGUAGGGAAUCUUCCGCAAUGGGCGGAAGCCUGACGGAGCAACGCCGCGUGAGUGAUGAAGGUCUUCGGAUCGUAAAACUCUGUUAUUAGGGAAGAACAAAUGUGUAAGUAACUAUGCACGUCUUGACGGUACCUAAUCAGAAAGCCACGGCUAACUACGUG